GCAAGUGAACGCGGCCGGGCCUCGCCGCGGAGGGUGCGGGGUGCAGAGCCUUGAGUCCCUUGUGGCCGCCGCCUUGGCCGUGGGCCUGGCCGGGCUCGGCGUCCCUGGGGAAGAAGCUGUGACCUCCUCAAGGGCGCAAAGCCCGGCAUGUCUCGCGGGGCUCCUUUGACAUUGCCCGGCGCCGGGUCUCUCUCACCUCCACCCUCUGUCUCCCCCGCAGGAGGAUGUUCUCGUCCGUAGCGCACCUGGCGCGGGCGAACCCCUUCAACGCGCCACAUCUGCAGCUGGUGCACGAUGUGUCGGGUCCCCGCAGCCCCCCAGGUCCGCCCCGGCGUUCCCGCCACCUGGCUGCCGCCGCCGUGGAAGGUGAGGUCACACCCUGCCCUGUGCGAGCACUGGUUUCGUGCUGUUCCCCGCUCUGCCUACGAGACCUGGGCCGGAUAGGGAGGUCGAGGAAGGACGCUCCAGCCCUGGACCUGAGAACCGGUCUCUAGCUGACCCUGGGAUGUCAGCUCUGACGCCCUAGGCCGCUGUCGGAUCCUUGGCCCUCCCUCAAGGGCGUGGAAGGGCCCAGGCCCAGCGCCACUCAGUGACCUCCGUGUCCCCAAGGGAGUAGAGGCAGAGAGGUGGUAACCAACUUCUUUAUCUAACCCCCAACCCAUGAGCCCGCUUGGUCAGCCAAGUCUACUGGGUAAAGUGUCCUUUUUAAUCACUAGUUUGUCACAGUUGCAACUCCAUAAAGUCUUAUUUGAUUUGCC
rnacentral:lncRNA from 1 species